rnacentral:rRNA from 1 species
CAGUCGCCGCGGUAAUACGAAGGGGGCUAGCGUUGCUCGGAAUUACCGGGCGUAAAGGGCGCGUAGGCGGCGAUCAAAGUCAGGCGUGAAAUUCCUGGGCUCAACCUGGGGGCUGCGCUUGAUACUUGGUUGCUUGAGUGGGGAAGAGGGUCGUGGAAUUCCCAGUGUAGAGGUGAAAUUCGUAGAUAUUGGGAAGAACACCGGUGGCGAAGGCGGCGACCUGGUCCUUUACUGACGCUGAGGCGCGAAAGCGUGGGGAGCAAACAGGAUUAGAUACCCCGGUAGUCCCUGUCUCUUAUAC